rnacentral:lncRNA from 1 species
CUUUUUGUCCAAAAAACCCACGUGUCGCCUUGUGAAUAUUUUUUGCUCCACAUAAGCCAUCAUGAUUUCCAGCUCCACUGAAAUCUUCAACAGUGGUGUAAUCUAUAUCAUUUUGUUAGAGGUUUUCUUUUGUUGGAUAAUAAUAUUACACUACCAGAAAUUACCAUUCUUCCCAACGAACCAAAUGUUGUCGAACAAAGUAGCUUUACCCAACGAGCAUAAAAAUUUGGCCUGGAAAAAGUGGUCAAUGUUUUGGUUUUUUCAGAGACUUUAGACGAUUAACAUUUUGACGGGCAAACUAUUCUUGGGGCAAUGUUUUUGCCCAAAGGGAAAAAAUUGGCGCGUAUAUUAUGCCACCUUUUGAUCAACGGAAGAACAAGUUCAUUGGGUAAAGUGACUUUGCCUGACGAACCGUUUUGUCAAGAAACGUAUACAAGUCGUCGAAUAAAGAUCCAUGAUGAUCUGUCCUAAACCUAUCUGAUAUGUUUUGCCCAACGAUUUUUUGUGUGUUCACCCGAUGACGAUUCUUUGUUCGACGACAUUGGUGACGUUACCCAAUGAACAAACAUCAGUUCAUUAAAAUAGGCCGUUCCUUUCUUCUUUCUUUACCCCAUCAACUCUCUUCUUCUCUGCUAUAUUUGUGCUCUCUCUGUCUCCCACCGACACCCACCUCAUCACCCAAUUAAUUUAAGGUUUUUUUAUUUGUUAAAAUUAUGUUUGUUUAAUUGUGUAAUUAAUUACUUUUGUUUGUUGUAGGUUUGUGAUUGAAUUGGAAGAAAAUUAAAGUGACGGUAUUUACUUGUCUCUCAAUUAGUAAAUUUUAAUUUAAUUAAUUGUGAUAUAUAUAUGCCUGUUGAAAUUUUGGGUUAUAUGAAAUUUUGAGAAUGUGGGUGAUUGAACCAUAUGUAGCUUAGGUGAAUUUAAUUUGUGUAGCUCUAGGCUAGGAAAUCACAGUGUGAAAUUUGUUUGGAAAUUUCAUAACUGUUUACACAAAAUUACUUAUGUUGAUUAACUUUGUGUAAUAAAAUAAAAAUAACUUAGACCUAUUUAAGAGUCUGUUGGAUGUGUGUGUACACACAACAUGCAUCUCCGCGAUCUAACAGAUUCUUGAAUUGUCGAGUUUGGACAUUUCGAGAGUGCACUCUUAUGUGUUAGGGUUUGCAGUGAAUGUCGCUAAGUUUCAAUUGUCAUUAUUCAAGCGCAUACUAGAUAUUUAUUUAUAAUAUCUACGUCAUGCACUUGGGGAACUAUAGGGAGACGUUGAUCGAAAAUAGUCACGUGAAUCGCAAACUGUAACAAAGAUAGUAUACUUUCUACUGGGAUAGGAUCAUUACCAGAGACAUAAGGGGACGCAUAAUCGAAUAUCAACUUGUUAUGGUGACUAAACUCUCUGAAAAUAGGCACAAUAGAUAAAGGGUGGACAAAGUUGAACGAUAGAUGUUGUGACGAAUAUUUAGAUAUGAUUGGGACAUUUUAUUGAAUUUACAAGCAACCAUAUCAAUGCUUAGAAUCGUAUUAGGUGUCUAUGCGUGGAAUGUAACAACUGUGUUUGAAUGAUAUUGGACCAAAUUCAAUAUCACUUGUACGGGAAUAGGAUGGUAGACACUUACUUGAAUUGGACUUAUCAAGAAGAACCACCCAUUAUAACAUCAACAUCUUCCGGCAAUAGGACGCUUAGAUCACUACUACAAAAUUGGCUUAAUGUAUCAGAAAGUGGUAGCGGUUUUACACUAUUACUGUCGGAUAAAAUAUUUCCGACAACAUGUUUAAAAAGUGUCGGAUAACAAAGUAUUACUGUCAGAUAUAUAUGACAAGAAUAAUGAAGCGGGCCCUUAGCUAGCAUAUUUAUUUUUUAAAUAAUUUUAACCAAUUCUGGCGGAUAAAUCCGACAUGAGUAAGUAAUGUGUUAGAUUAUAUCAUAUUAUUCUCGAAUUUUUUAUACUAUCUCUGGCGGUUUUAUCUGACAUAAAUAUUUUCAAAAUUUUUAAACUAACUCUGACGGUUAUAUCUGACACAAAUAGUCAAUUAAAUAUAUUCUUUAAACUAGUUAAUCCGAAGCUAGAGUGGUUUCUGAACUAGUUAUUUUUUCUUAUAAUUCUAAUUGUCUAAUUGAUUAAAAUUGGAAUUGUUAGUUAUAUUUGUAAAAUAAAUUUCUUUUGUAUUCUUAUUUAUGUUUUUUUGGGGUGAUUAAAUAUUUAUUUAUGUUAAAUUAAUAUUAUUUUUUCGCUAUAAUUGGUAUGAAGAUGUACAAAACUUGAAUUUAAUGAAUAAUCAUGAUUAGAUAAGUAUAAUUUUGAUAAUCUUUGUUUUUUUUUUUUUAAUUUGCAGAUGUAAAAAAUCAUCAAAAUCAAAGCUAAAAUAACCGUUAAAUUGUGAUUUUUCAUUUAUAACCUUCAAAAAUUUUGUUCCAUUACGUAAUCUCUAAAUGUUUGUUUUUUUUUUUUGCGAUUUUUUACGUAUGCAAUCUCAGAGUGUGUACAAACAAGUUUGACGGUUGGAUCGUUGAAUUUUUUUUCGUAGAAUGUGUAUCGCAUCAAAACGAUAGAUUAAACAAACACUUAGAAUUAAUGUUAUACUUCCAUUAAGUAUAAAAAAGAUUUUGUGGUAUCCACUAGUGUAAAUAUUUUAAAUUGAAGAUCGAAUUCAUUCAUUGCAUUCUUAUAGGGUUCAGGAGUGUAGCUAUAAAAAAUCAUCAAAAUCGGAGCUAAAAUAACUGUUAAUUGUGAAUUUUUGUUUAUAAACAUCGAAAACUUUUGUUCCGUUACCUAAUCGCUUAAUGUUGUUUUUUACAAUUUUUUACGUAUGCGAUCUCGGAGUGUGUACAAAUAAGUUUGAUGGUUGGAUCGUUGAAAAAGGUGUUGUAGAAUGCAUAUCGCGUCAAAACGGUAGAUUAAACAAACACUUAGAGUUAAUGUUAAACUUCCAUUAAGUAUAAAAUAAGAUUUUGUGGUAUCCACUAGUGUAAAUAUUUUAAAUUGAAGAUCGAAUUUAUUCAUUGCAUUCUUAUAGAGUCAAGGAGUGUAACUGUAAAAAAUCAUAUAACCGUCAAAAACUUUUGUUCCGUUACCUAAUCUCUGAAUGUUUGUUUUUUGCGAUUUUUUAUGUAUGCAAUCUCAGAGUGUGUACAAACAAGUUUGACGGUUGGAUUGUUGAAACUAGUUUCGUAGAAUGCAUAUCUCAUCAAAAUGAUAGAUUUAACAAACAUUUAGAGUUAAUGUUAUACUUCCAUUAAGUAUAAAAUAAGAUUUUGUGGUAUCCACUAGUGUAAAUAUUUUAAAUUGAAGAUCGAAUUCAUUCAUUGCAUUCUUAUAAGUUCAAGAGUGUAGCUGCAAAAAAUAAUCAAAAUCAGAGCUAAAAUAAUCGUUAAAUUGUGAUUUUUUUUUUCGUUUAUAACCAUUGAAAACUUUUGUUCUGUUACCUAAUCUCUAAAUGUUUUUUUUGUUGUUGUGAUUUUUUACAUAUACGGUCUUGUAGUGUAUACAAACAAGUUUGACGGUUUGGUUGUUGAAACUAGUUUCAUAGAAUGCAUAUCUCCAUUAAAUUUGUGCCCAAAAUUUUGAAGUGAGAAAAGUAAUUUGUCCUAAAUUUUCAUUUAUAUUUUGAAGUAUUGAUUAGACAAUAUUUGUUUGUGUGAUGACAUUUUCAUUGUAUAAUUAUCUUUUUGUUUCUUUAUCGUAUAUUUUACAUGGGUUAUUAUUUAUUUAAAUACGUAUUAUCCAUUAAACCAAACAUUUAUUUAUUUAUUUAAAUACGUAUUAUCCAUUAAACCAAACAUUUAUUUAUUUAUUUUUUAAAAACGUAUUCUAUUUAAAUACGUAUUAUUUAUAUAUUAAACCAAACAAUUAUUAUUUUAUUUUUUUAAAUCGUGAAAAAAAUUUGGGAGGGAAUUUUGGGCGAGAGAUUUCCCGCCAUUCUUAGUGUUGUCGAUUAUAUCCGACGGCAAUAGGAAAGUGUGUCAAAUAAGUUUUUUUUAUAUUUUUUACAGAAACAUAUUGAUGUCGGUUUUAACCAACAGUAAUACCAAUUCUACAAAAUAAAACCCCUUGCGCCCCUACCUUCUCCCCUCCCCAUUCCUUCCCCCUUCCUUAUCCUCUCCUUCUUCUCCUUCUCUUCUCCCCUUCUCCUUCUCGCUUCAAUCACCAUGGAUGAACAAUUUGAGUAGCAACAUUUCGAAAGCAGUACGUUUUAAAUUAUUUGUAUUACGUUCUGUUUGUGUUUUAAAUUUUGAUUAUGUUAUUAACACUAGUA